rnacentral:rRNA from 1 species
AGCCUCCUACGGGACGCAGCAGUAGGGAAUUUUCGUCAAUGGGCGCAAGCCUGAACGAGCGAUGCCGCGUGAGUGAAGAAGGCCUUCGGGUCGUAAAGCUCUGUUGCGGGGGAAAAAAGGCAGCAUCAGGAAAUGGGUGCGGACUGAUGGUGCCCCGCCAGAAAGUCACGGCUAACUACGUGCCAGCAGCCGCGGUAAUACGUAGGUGGCGAGCGUUAUCCGGAAUGAUUGGGCGUAAAGGGAGCGCAGGCGGCCCGGCAAGUCUGGAGUGAACCGCAUGAGCUCA